UUCGUUCUGUGCGACUCGUGCAGUCGAGCGGUAGCACAGAGAGCUUGCUCUCGGGUGACGAGCGGCGGACGGGUGAGUAAUGUCUGGGAAACUGCCUGAUGGAGGGGGAUAACUACUGGAAACGGUAGCUAAUACCGCAUAACGUCGCAAGACCAAAGUGGGGGACCUUCGGGCCUCAUGCCAUCAGAUGUGCCCAGAUGGGAUUAGCUAGUAGGUGGGGUAACGGCUCACCUAGGCGACGAUCCCUAGCUGGUCUGAGAGGAUGACCAGCCACACUGGAACUGAGACACGGUCCAGACUCCUACGGGAGGCAGCAGUGGGGAAUAUUGCACAAUGGGCGCAAGCCUGAUGCAGCCAUGCCGCGUGUAUGAAGAAGGCCUUCGGGUUGUAAAGUACUUUCAGCGGGGAGGAAGGCGAUAAGGUUAAUAACCUUGUCGAUUGACGUUACCCGCAGAAGAAGCACCGGCUAACUCCGUGCCAGCAGCCGCGGUAAUACGGAGGGUGCAAGCGUUAAUCGGAAUUACUGGGCGUAAAGCGCACGCAGGCGGUCUGUCAAGUCGGAUGUGAAAUCCCCGGGCUCAACCUGGGAACUGCAUUCGAAACUGGCAGGCUAGAGUCUUGUAGAGGGGGGUAGAAUUCCAGGUGUAGCGGUGAAAUGCGUAGAGAUCUGGAGGAAUACCGGUGGCGAAGGCGGCCCCCUGGACAAAGACUGACGCUCAGGUGCGAAAGCGUGGGGAGCAAACAGGAUUAGAUACCCUGGUAGUCCACGCCGUAAACGAUGUCGAUUUGGAGGUUGUGCCCUUGAGGCGUGGCUUCCGGAGCUAACGCGUUAAAUCGACCGCCUGGGGAGUACGGCCGCGAGGUUAAAAACUCAAUGAAUUGACGGGGGCCCGCACAAGCGGUGGAGCAUGUGUUUAAUUUCUAUUCAACGCGAACAACCUUACCUGGUCUGACAUCACAGAACUUGCCAGAAUGAUUUGUUGCCUUUCGGCAACUGGAAGACCGGAUGCUGCAGUGGCCUGUCGUCAGCUCCUCGCUUGUUGAAAUGUUAGGUAUAAGUUCCCA
rnacentral:rRNA from 1 species